rnacentral:misc_RNA from 1 species
ACAUGUUUCAGAUAUUGUGGCUGCAUUCCGUUUCACGUAUGAUGCGCAUAAUGCAUUGUUUAUCUUUGUUUAACAUCAGACAAACAACAAAGAUGAAUGAUUAUGCGCAUUAUGCGUGAAACGGAACGCAGAUUGUGUUAUGUAUGUUUUUGAAACAUCUUAUUUAUAAAAGAACAAUAAGAUUUUGUACUGGGAAAUCUCCAACCACGUUUAGGAAAUUACCCAUUCGUAACACGCGUCUUGCUAAAAUAUUUUUAUCCCGCAUAGACGUUGAAGACAAAGCGAGUAAUCAUAAAAAAAGCGAUGCAAAGGCACUGGAAAAUUCAACUGAAUCAUUGCUUCUGCAAAUGUGUAUGAAGAGAGAAAUUAUGUUGGUAACACAUGGACCGACGCUUCUGAAGACUGAGCAGGAACAUAAAUCUGUAACGAGAAGCAUCGACAGAGCUGUCUCGCUCUCACGGGAGAGAAAAAAUUACAUACAAGAUUAUCCUCUGGGUGAAAAAGGAAGAGAAUGUUCCAUGCAAAGAGAUUUGACAAAACCCUUGCAAGAAGAUGAGACAGAUGUGAAACGUGAAAAAGAGAUAAAUAGAGUUGACAAAUCACAAGAAUGGGGUAAAUGGAUCGGGACAUGUCUUCUCAUAUUUAUAUUACCGUUGUCUGUAAUCUUACCACAAUUCUUGUGCUCGAAAGGACAAUGCAAAACUGCACUUGUAAAACUUUCUAUUGAUUGGAAGUCUUAUAUAAAUUUAUAUUCAUUAUCCUAUGUUGCAUUUUUAAUAUUAUUGACUUGUACAUCGAUUAUACCAAUUGGGAAAACCAUAGACGGACAGCAAAGUAAAACCAGAAGACUUCAGUAUUGUGUAAAUGGCUAUUUGAGCACUAUAGUGAUGCUAAUUGGACUUGGUUUAUAUAUAUAUAUGAAUAUAUCAGUUAGCAAUUACAUCAUCAAUAAUAUUGUACAAUUUUCAAUCAGUAGCUGGAUUGUGGGAACGAUUUUAGCUGUGGAAUUAUACAUUAAGGGCAGAGAAAUUAAUCCGCGAAUUGGCACUUUGGACAUUAAACUGCUGUUAAUAAGAGCUUCUCUCAUUGGCAUGUUGAUUGUAAAUAUAGCCAUUGCUAUUAAAGCUGUUGACGACGUAAAAAGUUCAAAUAUUGAGGAACUUGAUAUAGCUACAUUGUUAGUUGUCUUGCUGCAGCUAUUCUAUGUUAUACAUGGACUAAUAUACGAAGCUUUUAUCUUUACUUCUUUUACAAUAAUGUACAAAGAAACUGGAUACAUGACGACAUGCAUUAGUCACUUACUAUACUCAUUCUUAACGACUCUCACCGCAAAAUACAUAUUGUACCAUAAGCUGAAAUUUAAUUAUUUUACUGGUACAUUUGUUUUGAGCUUCGUAAUAGGAUAUGCUUUGUAUAGGAUUAAUAAUUGCAUAAAGAUGAAUUCAGAAAGAAUCCAGUUUUGCCGACAGUACCUUAUUUGGAAACUAUUUUUAUCAUGUCAUCCAGGUAUGAUGCCACAAGUUGUGCUGACACGUUGUAAGAUACAAGAAGAAAAACAUAAAGAUAACAUUUGUUCUUUAUCUGGAAACACAAAUAUUUACUCUAACUUUAAUAAUUUAAGUAUUUUGCCAACAGUAAAUGAUUUGAUUGAAAAAAAAGUAAAUAAUUGUUUUAUGGAUUCCAGUGAAUUUUCGGAUUUAUUAAAUACAGAAAAAGCUAUUGAAAGUGAUCCUGAUUAUGUGCAAGGUGAAUAUUCAUCAGUUACGAGUGAUUCUGAAGAAACAGAGGGAUCAGAACAUGAGAAUUGCGAUAAAUAUAAAAAGCACUUUUCUAGUACGCAUAAUAAUGAUUCGACGGGCAUAUCUUCAGGUAUGGAUGUAUGGAUGUUAGCAACAUUGUGGGCGAAUGUGAAACUCGACAAGACAAGCAAUCGAUAGUACCGACAAAACGUGCUGGCACAAAAAAAUAUAUGUGCGUCUUCUGUCGUAAAAUGCAAGCGAAGAUUGUUCGACAUUUCGAAAUUGUUCAUUCUAAAGAACCGGAUGUUCAAAAAUUCAAAUAUUUACCUAAAGGUUCAAUGGAAAAAAGAAAUAUUAUCGACACGUUAAGAAAAAGAGGAAAUUUUCAAUUUAACAUUGAGAAACAGUAUGAAGGACAUGGUUUUAUUCCAUGCAGGUCAAAUAGGAGAAAGAAGUCGUACUGUUAAAGUAAUGGGUCAGAGAUUAGAGGGCAAAUGUCUUAAAGAAGCUGAUGAGAGAGUACGGCGACUAAUAUUACCAGCAAUGAGAAACGAUGACGUCACGUGGAAUAUUCGUUACGAUACUUUAUUAAUACUACAUGCGUAUUUUCAGUGCAAAAAAUAUAGGCACUCAUCACAUCAUUUACAAAUGAUUCGAUCUCGAUUGUAGCUUGUAAGACGUUUAUUGAUAGCGAUGAGAAAUAUUAAUAAUAUAAAGUCUUUGAUUUCUAUUUACGAUCCAAAAUAUUACGAUACAUUCUUAGAUGCCAUAAAUAUUGUUGCACAAUAUAACGAAGAAACAGAUAUCUAUGAAAAGCCUGCUGUUGCAUCUAAUCUUGGUACCUACGUGAAGCAUACUGGCGAACUUUUAAUAACAAAAUGCAUAAAGGAACACGAUGACAAUACAAAAACAAAUCCAGAAAAUUUUCCAAAAUCGUUUGUCGAUUAUGGAACUAGUGUCAAUAAAACAGUAAUCGAAUCUCAAACUCAAUUUAAAAGACAAAAAAUUGUGAAACUUCCUGCAAUAGAAGACGUACGAAAAUUGCGGAAUCAUGUAUAGAAAAUGCAAAAGGAAUCGUACAAUAGUUUGAAAAAUUCUGGUAAAAAUGAAUUUUUAUUUUCUGCAUGGAUUUCUCUUGGAGAAGCUACUUUAACAUCAAUACAAUUAUUUAAUCGUCGUCAGCCAGGAAAAACGGAGCGAAUAUUGAUUUCUGAUUUUAACAAUUAUGAAAGAAUUAAUGAAAACGUUGAAACGUUCAGUGGAUUAUAUAAAGAACAAAAAGAUUUGGCACGAAAAUAUGUGCGAUUUUAUAUACGCGGAAAGUUAGAAAAAACUGUUUCUAUGAUAUUAGAUGAACUUAAUUUGGAAUAUGCUCAAACAUUUUUACAAUUAAGAAGUAAAACCAGAGUACCCUCGAAAAAUCCUUAUUUAUUUGGUAUUCCAGGACAUGACAAAAAUGUUAAUAAAUGAUUAGAUGCAUAUCGAGCCAUGACAUAUUUUGCUAAAGAAUACGGUACUGAAUUUUCUAAUACAUUAACUAGCACUACACUCAGGAAACACAUUGCUACUAUUAGAAUUACUUUUAAUUUAACAGAUACUCAAAUUACAGAUCUGACUAAUUUUAUGGACUAUCAUGAAAAAAUCCCCAAGGAAAUAUACAGAAAAUCAGUAGUGGUUGAAGAUAUUACAGCAGUCUCACAACUUCUAGAAGCCACACAAAGCAUUAGAGAUUCAGCGAAUAAUUUAAUUGAAGAAGGCGACAGUGAGAUUGAAUAUGAAAAUAAAGACAGCACAAGUGAUGAAAUAUUUGAAGAAACUAAUUCUUUGCAACAAUCGAGUGAUAGUAAGUAGAAAAUUUAUUUCCAAAAUAUCCUAAAUAUUGAAGAUAAUUACUGACGCAAUAUUAGUGCGCAGGUACACUAAUAAAUUUAUGUAAAAUUAUAUGUAUUAUGGUGAAUAAUUUUUGAGGCACACUGUAAUAGGUAUAAAAUUUUCAUGUUUUUAUAAUUUUUUAUAUAAAUUUUGCAAUUAUUUAUUAAUUUGUUUUUUUACACUUGUGCAUACACCGUAAACAAAUUUAUUACAAAUUAAACUAUUGCAAACAUUGCAAAAUGUUGGAAGACUUUUCGACUCAGACUUAAUUUAGUCCGCUUUACAUGCAUAUAAGCGUUGUUAAUAAUUAUCAGACGUUUUACAUAAACUGUUAUUUUAUUAAUUUAACGGUUUUGUAAUACAGAUUCAUUGUUAACGCCAGUGUAUAAAAAACGUACAAAAAUGGAAAUGACAGCGAUACGUAAAAAAACAUUGAUCAAAAGGUAAGAAUAAAUGUAUACCCAAUCAGUUGAUAAUGUUUGAUAUUAAAUAAUUAUAAAGAAAAAAAAA